rnacentral:rRNA from 1 species
AACGAACGCUGGCGGCAGGCUUAACACAUGCAAGUCGAGCGCCUCGCAAGGGGAGCGGCAGACGGGUGAGUAACGCGUGGGAAUCUACCGAGCCCUAAGGAAUAGCUCCGGGAAACUGGAAUUAAUACCUUAUACGCCCUUUUGGGGAAAGAUUUAUCGGGGUUUGAUGAGCCCGCGUCGGAUUAGCUAGUUGGUGAGGUAAAGGCUCACCAAGGCGACGAUCCGUAGCUGGUCUGAGAGGAUGAUCAGCCACACUGGGACUGAGAUACGGCCCAGACUCCUACGGGAGGCAGCAGUGGGGAAUAUUGGACAAUGGGCGAAAGCCUGAUCCAGCCAUGCCGCGUGAGUGAUGAAGGCCUUAGGGUUGUAAAGCUCUUUCGCCGGUGAAGAUAAUGACGGUAACCGGAGAAGAAGCCCCGGCUAACUUCGUGCCAGCCGCCGCGGUAAAAC